rnacentral:rRNA from 1 species
UGCCAGCCGCCGCGGUAAUACGGAGGGUCCGAGCGUUGUCCGGAAUUAUUGGGUUUAAAGGGUGCGUAGGCGGCCUUUUAAGUCAGAGGUGAAAUCCAACAGCUUAACUGUUGAACUGCCUUUGAAACUGGAAGACUUGAGUACACUAGAGGUAGGCGGAAUUUAUGGUGUAGCGGUGAAAUGCAUAGAUACCAUAAGGAACACCGAUAGCGAAGGCAGCUUACUGGAGUGCAACUGACGCUGAGGCACGAAAGCGUGGGUAGCGAACAGGAUUAGAUA